GCGACCCCAAUCUACGUGGCGGUCCGCAAUUCGCUACUUCAUACUGACUGGCGUACGGCAUCGUCCCGAAUUUGGCCACAAUCUGCUCUCGGGACCCCUAUAGGGCUCCCUGACCUGCUCCAUCUCCGCCAUCGUCAAUGUACUGCGCAUCCACCCAGGCCAGGACUGCACUUACUUACGGGAAGGAGUAUUUGCAAGAUGGAACCUGGGAACUGGAAGACGACGACGAGGAAGCGUGGGAAUCCGGCGGCAAUGGCUGGGAUGUAAGUCCAACAUUGCUGGUGCCAGAGUUGCCACUGCUUGCUUAUAAGGGAAUCAUGUGUGUUGCCUUUUUGCCUUUUCCGCCGUCCUCCUCCGACUGUACUCCCGAUCCCAGGACUGAACUUACGGGAAGGAGUGCUUCCAAGAUGGGAGACGAAGAAGAAGAAGCCGCUGAAUCCGGCGGCAAUGGCUGGGAUGCUGCGUUCUCGAGAGGAAGCGUUAUUUCUGCAUUCCAAGAAGGACGGCACAAUGUGUCGGACUGUCCGCGUCGCAUUGAACUGGUCCGAUGAGGCUGCUAUUGCACACACAGUGAGGGAACUCCCAUACGGGAACUCGGAAGUACUGCUACAGUACAGGUAUACCACCCCGUGACGACCACAUCGAAGUCUGAAAUUGAAGUGUGAAGAUGCUUCAGCAACCCCUUCAUAUUUUUCCAUUGCUUUUAUUGUGCUUCUACUGUGCAUGUGUGUAACCUGUGGGGUAUGCAUGUGAUGACAAUGUAUGCCGGUGACACGGUCAGAUUUUGUCCAUGCGUGUAACGUACACCUGCAUGCUAUCGUUGAAAAG